AACAAGAUUUUCUUUUUAGAGUUUGUGGCAACAUGUAGUUUGUUGUCAUGGUGACUGUCAGCUGUGCGGCAGUCCCAUCCAAUCACGGUGGGAAACUAUUGUAUAAAGGCGGGCGUAGAGCACCUUUCGGUCUCUUGUUUGCCGGAGGCUGGGUCACGUUGCGUCUGGGCGUCCAUUUCCGCUUCCUGUGCGGUUUCAGGCUUUUGCUUGCCGGAGGCUGGGUCACGUAGCUCCUGUGCUUCCAUUUCCGCUUCCGUGCGGUGAGAGGCUCUUGCUUGCCGGAGGCUGGGUCACGUAGCUCCUGUGCGUCCAUUUCCGCUUCUGUGCAGUGACAGGGCUCACUUGGAUGUUGCUGCUGGCUGCGCGCUGCUCAUCAAUACAUAGCCGAUGCCGCCUACUGAACUGUCGCUUUCGUAUAGCGUUGCGCUCCCUGCUCCAUGCCCUGUUGGCCGGGACUGCCCGACUGGGUGGCCGAUAGUAGCGACGCAGCGGCGGCUAAUCCACCUAUAAAAACCACUGCUGCUUUGCUUCCACGUGAUUACUGCCUUGCCAGGGCCGACUCGGACCCGAUCGCUUUGCCGUUCAUUCGGCUAGCGAUAGUUUGUUCCUUUUUCCUGUUGUGUCGCUGUCUCUUUUCUUUUAGUUGGUGCAACUACAUCGUGUGUAUGUUAUGUUAUGUAAGAGUUGUUUUGCUGAUUUCUCCUUGUGUUUACUUAUUAUAGAUUUUGUUUAUUUAAUUGAUUUCUCUUA